rnacentral:rRNA from 1 species
AUUGAACGCUGGCGGCAUGCCUUACACAUGCAAGUCGAACGGCAGCACGGGAGCAAUCCUGGUGGCGAGUGGCGAACGGGUGAGUAAAGUAUCGGAACGUGCCCAGUCGUGGGGGAUAACGUAGCGAAAGUUACGCUAAUACCACAUACGAUCUAUGGAUGAAAGCGGGGGAUCGCAAGACCUCGCGCGAUUGGAGCGGCCGAUAUCAGAUUAGGUAGUUGGUGGGGUAAAGGCUCACCAAGCCGACGAUCUGUAGCUGGUCUGAGAGGACGACCAGCCACACUGGGACUGAGACACGGCCCAGACUCCUACGGGAGGCAGCAGUGGGGAAUUUUGGACAAUGGGCGCAAGCCUGAUCCAGCCAUGCCGCGUGCAGGAUGAAGGCCUUCGGGUUGUAAGCUGCUUUUGUACGGAACGAAAAGGUUUGGCCUAAUAAGCUGAGCUCAUGACGGUACCGUAAGAAUAAGCACCGGCUAACUACGUGCCAGCCGCCGCCGUAA